AUAUAUAUAUAUAUAAUUAAAUAAUCACAUUCACAAUAGUUCACAACAUUUUAACAUACAUUUUAUUAGACACAAAAUAUUGACAAUCUCUCCUAAAUCAUUUCAUAUAGAACUUGAUAAAUAAUGUAGUAUUUUGAAAAAUAAUCUAAUAUAGUACUAUAAAAAAUAUUCAAUUUAGUAUCAACAAAAUCACCUUAAAGACAAUCAAUUGCAUCAUUAUAUUAUCACCUUAAAGACAAUCAAUGAUGUAACAAUUUAAUAAUAUUUAAAAUACUCAUUUCAAUCUUGUAUUAUCGAUACUUUAUUUAACUGUUUAAAUUUCUAAAUCCAAUACAACAUUUCCUUCACUCGCACACAAUAUUGUUUUGCAAUAAAAUGGAAAGUCACUUUAAGCUACGAGAAUUUAUUUUCUUCAUAAAUGAAAAAUCAAGUCUUAUCCUUUCCAUUCCGCAAGGGUUAUGCUCCCGGUAAGAUUUCACAUUCUCUCGUUUUAAUCAAAAGAUGUAUUAUAAUAUUAAUCAAAGAUUCUUUAAAAAGUAAUUAAAGAUGUUAAACGUGUAAACAAUCAUAGAUGUGUCAGGAACCCUCGUAUUAAAAUAUUUAUAAGUAAAAUAGUCAUUUUACUUUAAAAGUAUAAUUUAGUAUUUUUACAAAGUGUUUAUGAUUAUUUUAAUUAAGAUUUAAAGAAUUAUAGUUACUCCUUAUAAUUAUAAUCAGGAGUCACCAAAACAUUUUGGAUCAAAUGACGGAUUGAGGGUAUUUUUAUAACUUCAUAUUAUUUAAGAGGGGUUUUAUCUUGAUUUCCAAAAGAGUUAUUUGUAUUUGAAGGUAGAUUAAAUAUUUAUGAAGAGUUUAAGAAAAUUAAUUAAUUGCUUAGUAGAUGAUUAAAAGAAAUGGUCACCUGAUGAUUUAAAAUAAGAGGAUAACAUAAUUAAGAUUUUUUAGGGAUUAAUGAGGGCAAUUAUAGUCAUUUUGGAUGCAAAUCUUCUCUUGCUUGUGUCUUAUGUAUUAUGAUUCAUUCCCCACCACCACGGGUUCUUCGGCAUACCUUGAUGUGUAUGCAUGAAGAAAGUAAUGUAAAAUUGUGGGCUAUCAUAGACUAAGAAGCAAGUUGAAGGGAUUAUAGAGAGAAGUCUAUUAAAGAUCAAGGUAGAGGGCGGAAAAACCAUAUAAGCUAAGAUGGAGUUAAGGAUCACAUGAAGCUAAAGGAAGGGAGAAGUCUGCACUUGGCAAAGCUUACAUGCAAUUUAGAGAAUUAUGAUUAACAUCUUCAAGUGGAAAAAGGUGGAUUUCCUUUAAUAUUGAUUCUUAGUUAUGGUUAGUUAGAAAUGAUGCUCGCAUGUUAGUUCCAUAGAUUUUUGGUUGUUGAUGGUGUGUAAAUUCUUAGUUAUGGUUAGUUAGAAAUGAUGAUUGCAUGUUAGUUCCAUAGAUUUUUGGUUGUUGAUGGCGUGUAAAGCAUGAAAUUGAUAUGGUAGCUAAGUUAAAUAGUUUUUAGAAUUCUAGAUGAUAGAAAGGAAGUGUGAGAGACUUAUACUCGGUGUGCCUCUAUUGCUUUGGCAUUUGGUAGAGCUGGCCACUAGGAAGCCUUCUGGUCCGACCAACACCGCUCCGAGAAGAAAUAGUUGGAUGAGAGAAUUUGCGACCUGAAGCUUCAAUGGGAUAAAUACCUACAAUAAAUAAAGAAGGUUUAUACCUCCCUUAUCGGGGUGAUGAAUGCAUUACUUCCCCUGUAGCAUGUCAGUUCCCUCUCAGACCAAGUGAAUCAUCUGGUGAAGACUGUGGCAAAGAAGAACUAGGAUUUGAAUUUUGUUCAGGGCAUUUUAUGAUCUGCUCAAAGAGAGUUAGAGUCUUUGCGCUAUCAGAAUGCUUUGCUGACUCAGAAGUUGACUAAUUGUACAAGUGAUACCCUUGAUGUAGUCUCGUAGUUCUUUAAGAAUGUUUUGCAGUAAGUGGAUCACUUCCACCACCCUUUGACACUUUCUAGGGAGAAAAUCUGGCCAAAUAAAGUAUUCAAAGACAGGAAGAUCGUUUCUAUGUGGAAGUAACCCUGUAGAUAUUUUUUUAAGUACUCUUUGUAGAGUACUAUGUAGUAGAAGCAUAUGUAUAUAAAUAUAGUUAUAUUUUGACUGAAAUUCUUUAGCUUUACUUUAUACCUAUUUAAGGUGUGCUUUUUUUGGAUCUUGAGUGCAUAUGUCUGGAUCUUUGAGAACUUAUGAGGUCUUCCCUUGAAGUUAAUUAGACGUGACUGAGUCUGUUUUCGGCCAAAAGUCAGUUCCCCUUUCCUCCACUAGAUGAAAAACUAUAAGAGGUAUACAUUUGACCGACUCACCAUGACAUCUAGGUUGGAUAGCUUAUAGAUGGGGAUGGUUCGUGAUUGCCUGUUGGGAAUUGAUUAUCGUGGCCGGGCGUAUAAACCGUCUCUAGAAGUACCCAUGUCUUUUGGUAGGGAACUAAUUUCUUUAGUUAGAUGUGCAAAACGUCUCUGAUAAAACCUCUAACUUUUAGUGGGGAAUUGAUUACUUUAGUAGGUCAUACAAAACAUCUAUGACAGUACCUCUGACUUUCGGCAGGGAAUAUAUUGUUUUAGUCAGAUGUGAAAAGCAUCUCUGGCAACACCCCUAACUUUCUUUUGUCUGUGCUUUGUGGUGUGGGGAAUUGAUUGCUUUAGCCGGAUGAGUAAACCAUCUUCGACAACAUCCAUGACUUUAGGUGUAUCGGGCCUCGAUUACAAUGGCCGUACCCCAGAUCUACGGUUACUAUGCACAAUCACAAAGAAACAAAUAUUU
rnacentral:lncRNA from 1 species